rnacentral:rRNA from 1 species
UACGUAGGGGGCAAGCGUUGUUCGGAAUGACUGGGCGUAAAGGGUGCGUAGGCGGUGUAGCAAGUUAGAAGUGAAAUACCUAGAGCUUAACUCAGGUGCUGCUUCUAAAACUGCUAUACUUGAGUGCAGUAGAGGAAGGUGGAAUUCCUAGUGUAGCGGUGGAAUGCGUAGAUAUUAGGAGGAACAUCAGUGGCGAAGGCGACUUUCUGGACUGUAACUGACGCUGAGGCACGAAAGUGUGGGGAGCAAACAGG